UCGAUUUAAAUAAAUGCUGAGCCUUUAAACUUUUAAAUAUUAAGCAGCACAACUGUUUUCAACACUGAUAAUAAUAAGAAAUGUUUUCUGAGCAGCAAAUUAGCAAAAUAUAAUGAUUUUUUGAAAGAUUGUGUAACACUGAGUUUACAUUAAAUACAUUUAAAAAGUGUUAAUAUUUUCUGAAUAUAGUCAUAGUUGUUAUUUGUGAAUGUUGUUAUUUGACUUCACUGUUCUCUUCCCUUUCUCUCAAACCAUCUCCAUUCUAGACCAGCCCUGCUGAAUCAUGCUAAAUGAAGAUGAAACCGUGCUGGACUGCUGUGUUUGUGUGUGAAAGUGCAGCUGUGUAGGUAAUACUAGGUCAGCUGGACCUCUCAGUGCCCUGGUUUGGGAUGUUUGUGUGUAUUUCCUCAGGUGUUUUCCUGCUUUGAUGCUUGAUGGAAAGCUCUUUAUAACAUCAGUAAACUUACUGAGCAUCAAUUCAGCCUGUGAAUCCACAAAGAUGUCAUUUUCCUGCAACUGUUUCAUGACAAUUGCAGUUUUCAUGAAAUUCUGUUCCCGCAUAUGACAAAGUGCGCAGUCGACAAGGUUAAGGAGAAGAAACAGAAUCUCUCAAGUGAGCACGGCCAACAAAUCGCUCUGUGUAACUCUAGCUCUCCAUGGCUACUCUUCGGGCAGGAGGGGAGAAGAUGUGAGGGGUGUGAUGAGGUCAAUCCCCUGGUGCCUGAUAGUGAAACUGAAAAAUCAUGGAGAAACUAUGGACUUAUGGCACACACUACAGCAUUUCCUGUACAGUCUCUGGAGUAUUGAGAUAAACUGUUCCACCACUAAGGGAAGUUUUGCCAUGGACUUUGGUCUCAUCCCUUAAUCAAGCCAAGAGUGAGCGAGAAAGAGAGAUGGAAGAGGAGAUGUGAAUGGAGAGACGGCCUGCUUUUACAUCUGGCUGAACACCAGGUUAGAUCAGCUCCAUUUGUACACCCUUCUCUGCCUAAAACAAGCUGAUCUUUCUGAACAUCUUUCAAGGAUUUAAAUUACAAUUUCUAAAACUGUGUGUACCGAUAUUUGUUUAACACAAUAAUGUUGAGACUUCCUUGUUCUCUAUAUAUGAUGUGGUGAGGUCUGGGACACAGGCUUCUGGUGCCACAUGUAGUUCAUAAAACUUUUUUGCAUCAUUUUAUCAUAGACGUCUCUGCGAUCAUGCAAAGUGCACGUUAUAUUGGGCACUGCAUGAUUUAUACUCUAGGGCAAGUUGUUUGUAUGUGUGUGUGUGUUUAUGUGUGCCACUUUGCUCCUCACUGUUUCACAUUACCUAAAUCAGCAAAUAAAACCUGAACUUGUCAGAGGCACACAAAUCAACCACAUGUAUGAUAAAGUCAUCCAACCCAUAGCUGGUGAGCGGCCCCUUCUAACACAGUUUUCCUGGUAGACCUUCAUUCAGCCAGACACAGUGAAACUGAACUGCGCUGGCACUGAGGCCGAAACCAGAUACUGCUCAGACCUCUCAAUCCCAGCUACAUGCCUGUAGUUACAUAAAGUAUAUACUAUUUUUUGAACACAUGAACACAUUUAAGAAAGAAUGUAUCUCGGCCCUUAUCAAAAGGGGUGGAAAAUUAAUCAAUAUUAUUAUAAUAAUUAUAUGUAAUUAUU